UAGAGAUCAAGAACCAGGAGUAUGUUAAGUGGCCGAAGACAAUGAAGCCAAAUACUCAUAGAAAUAUGAACAAAAAUUGCCAAUUCCAUCAUGACUACAGGCAUGAUACCAAGGACUGCCACCAACUGAAGAACGAGACUGAAGCUCUCAUUAAAUGGGCCUUCCUUGGUCCCACAUUAGCUACUUAUAGGAUAGAGAUGAUCUAGUCAAAGGCACUCUGCUCUCAACUUGUUGCUUGACAACUGAUCUACCAUUAGAGUCAUCCACACCAUUGGUGGUGGACCAACAACCAGUGGUACCAACUCAUCUAUAAGGAAGACUUAUGCCCAUGCAACCU
rnacentral:lncRNA from 1 species